UACGUAGGGUGCGAGCGUUGUCCGGAAUUAUUGGGCGUAAAGAGCUCGUAGGCGGUGUGUCACGUCGGCCGUGAAAACCUGGGGCUUAACUCUGGGCGUGCGGUCGAUACGGGCAUCACUAGAGUUCGGCAGGGGAGACUGGAAUUCCUGGUGUAGCGGUGAAAUGCGCAGAUAUCAGGAGGAACACCGGUGGCGAAGGCGGGUCUCUGGGCCGAUACUGACGCUGAGGAGCGAAAGCAUGGGUAGCGAACAGG
rnacentral:rRNA from 1 species